UGCCUCCCUCAUGGAGCCAGUGGGAGCAUUGAGAGAGACAGGAUAGGGUGUGCAAGGCAGGCUCGCCUGGCUUCUCUAAGGAACUUCACUUUUCAGUUUUGGGUCAGCGAUCUCACUGUAAUUCAGCCUGGGCAACAGAGCAAGAUCCUGUCUCAACAACAAAAAAAGAGAGAUAAGAAAAGAAAGGGAAGGAAGGAAGGGAGGGAGGGAAGGAGGGAGGGAAGAAGGGAGAGAGGGAGGGAGGGAGGGGGAAGGAAGGAAGGAAAGAAGAGAGAAAGAAAGAAACAACAAAGAGUAAAGGAGGGAGGGGGGAGAGGAAAAAAGGAGAGGAGAGGAGAUGGAAGGAAGAGGAGAGAAGAGAGAGGGGAAAGAAGGGAGGGAGGGAGGGAGGAAGGGAGGGAGGGAAAGAAAGAAAAAGAAAGAGGAAGAAAGGAAGGAAGAGAGGGAGAGAGAAAAGGAGGGAAGGAGGGAGGGGAGAGGAGAGGAGAAAAGGAGAAGAGAGAGAAAGGAAGGAAGGAGGGAGGGAGGAAAGAAAGAAAAAAAGAAAGAAAAAGUAGGGAAGGAGGGAGGGAGGAAGGGAGGGGAGAGGAGAGAAGAGAGGAAGGAAGGAAGAACGGAGAGAGGGAGGCAGGGAAGGAAGAUCUCUUCUCUAGAAGAGAUCACAUGUUAGGGCACAAAAUAAGCCUUAAUACACUUUAAAAGAUUAAAAUUAUGCACAGUCUGUUUUCUGAUCACAAUGGAAUGAAACUAGAAAUGAAAAGCAGGAGGAAAAUUUGAAAAUCCACAAAUUUGUGGAACUUAAACAACACACUUUUAAACACCAAUGGGUCAAAGAAAAAUCAAAGGGAAAACAGAACAUACUAAAAUGAAAAUAGAAAAUAUUAAAAUGAAAAUGGGUUUCUGCUUUUUUUGGAGGGCAGUAAUCUAAUCUGCAGACACAGUAUCCCUUCUUCCACUUCCUGCUGCAGCCAAUAAAGCUUGUUCCUACCAUAAAAAACAAAACAAAAGAACAACAGGUUUCCUCUGUUACCAGGGACCCACCAAGUGAGUCACAUUCACACCAGAGCUGUGAAUAAGGUGGCCUGGAUCAUCAUAGAAAAGCAUUACAUGAGCCUAGGUAACAACUUCUGCAUGAACAAGUGUGUGUGUGUGUGUGUGUGUGUGUGUGUGUGUGUGUAUGUGUGUGGAGAUUGCAAUGAUCUCCAGUAGGAAGCCCUGAAACAAGAUAGCAGGCUAUUAUGUCACACCCCUGAUGCAGCGGACUCAGAGGGUCCCAGCGAGAGACAGCUCCAUCAAGCUUCAGGAGGAGGAGAGGAAAGGGAGAGAUAAUGAUGUUCCUGAGGUCUCGGUCCUGGAAUAGGAGAUCAUUGAGGUAAAUUCUGACACUAAGGAAACGCUGAAGAUUUUAGACAUUGGCAGUCUGUCGAACCUGCAGGUCACUCAGCCUGCAGUUGGGAUGAAUUUUAAAAUGCCACGUGGAGCUGUUUGAAUCUUUCUGCAAUGUUGUAA
rnacentral:lncRNA from 1 species